AGGACGAACGCUGGCGGCGUGCUUAACACAUGCAAGUCGAGCGGAAAGGCCCUUCGGGGUACUCGAGCGGCGAACGGGUGAGUAACACGUGAGUAAUCUGCCCCUAGCUCUGGGAUAGCUCCGGGAAACCGGGAUUAAUACCGGAUAUGACCACUUUAGACAUCUGCUGUGGUGGAAAGAAUUUCGGCUAGGGAUGAGCUCGCGGCCUAUCAGCUUGUUGGUGGGGUAACGGCCUACCAAGGCGACGACGGGUAG
rnacentral:rRNA from 1 species